rnacentral:rRNA from 1 species
GAGUAACACGUGAGCAACCUGCCCCAGGCUUUGGGAUAACCCCGGGAAACCCGGGGCUAAUACCGAAUAUGACCUCCGAUCGCAUGGUUGGUGGUGGAAAGUUUUUCGGCUUGGGAUGGGCUCGCGGCCUAUCAGCUUGUUGGUGGGGUGAUGGCCUACCAAGGCGACGACGGGUAGCCGGCCUGAGAGGGCGACCGGCCACACUGGGACUGAGACACGGCCCAGACUCCUACGGGAGGCAGCAGUGGGGAAUAUUGCACAAUGGGCGGAAGCCUGAUGCAGCGACGCCGCGUGAGGGAUGACGGCCUUCGGGUUGUAAACCUCUUUCAGCAGGGACGAAGCGUAAGUGACGGUACCUGCAGAAGAAGCGCCGGCCAACUACGUGCCAGCAGCCGCGGUAAGACGUAGGGCGCGAGCGUUGUCCGGAUUUAUUGGGCGUAAAGAGCUCGUAGGCGGCUUGUCGCGUCGACUGUGAAAACCCGCAGCUCAACUGCGGGCCUGCAGUCGAUACGGGCAGGCUAGAGUUCGGUAGGGGAGACUGGAAUUCCUGGUGUAGCGGUGAAAUGCGCAGAUAUCAGGAGGAACACCGGUGGCGAAGGCGGGUCUCUGGGCCGAUACUGACGCUGAGGAGCGAAAGCGUGGGGAGCGAACAGGAUUAGAUACCCUGGUAGUCCACGCUGUAAACGUUGGGCGCUAGGUGUGGGGGGCCUCU